AUUGAACGCUGUCGGCAGGCUUAACACAUGCAAGUCUAGCGAGUGGCGGACGGGUGAGUAAUGUCUGGGAAACUGCCUGAUGGAGGGGGAUAACUACUGGCAACGGUAGCUAAUACCGCAUACCCUCAGAUGUGCCCAGAUGGGAGUAGCUAGUAGGUGGGGUAAUGGCGCACCUAGGCGACGAUCCCUAGCGGGUCUGAGAGGAUGACCAGCGACACGGGAACUGAGCCACGGUCCGGACGCCUACGGGAGGCAGCAGUGGGGAAUAUUGCACAAGGGGCGCAAGCCUGAUGCAGCCAUGCCGCGUGUGUGAAGAAGGCCUUCGGGUUGUAAAGCACUUUCAGCGAGGAGGCGUUACUCGCAGAAGAAGCACCGGCUAACUCCGGGCCAGCCGCCGCGGUAAUAC
rnacentral:rRNA from 1 species